rnacentral:rRNA from 1 species
GAUGAACGCUGGCGGCGUGCCUAAUACAUGCAAGUCGAGCGAACAGACGAGGAGCUUGCUCCUCUGACGUUAGCGGCGGACGGGUGAGUAACACGUGGAUAACCUACCUAUAAGACUGGGAUAACUUCGGGAAACCGGAGCUAAUACCGGAUAAUAUAUUGAACCGCAUGGUUCAAUAGUGAAAGACGGUUUUGCUGUCACUUAUAGAUGGAUCCGCGCCGCAUUAGCUAGUUGGUAAGGUAACGGCUUACCAAGGCAACGAUGCGUAGCCGACCUGAGAGGGUGAUCGGCCACACUGGAACUGAGACACGGUCCAGACUCCUACGGGAGGCAGCAGUAGGGAAUCUUCCGCAAUGGGCGGAAGCCCGACGGAGCAACGCCGCGUGAGUGAUGAAGGUCUUCGGAUCGUAAAACUCUGUUAUUAGGGAAGAACAAAUGUGUAAGUAACUAUGCACGUCUUGACGGUACCUAAUCAGAAAGCCACGGCUAACUACGUG